GACACAAAACCCGGAAGGACCCCGCCGAAGGUUUUCUCCGGUUCGGGAGAGAGACGGAGUCCCGCUCUGUCACGCAGGCUGCCAGGCUGGCGUACAGUGGCGCAAUCUCAGCUCGCUGCAACCUCCACCUCCUGGGUUCAAGCGAUUUUCUUGCCUCUGCCUCCUGAGUAGCUGGGAUUACUGGCACACACCACCAUGCACAGUUCCUUGUUCAAAAUGCCAAGAACCUGGAUGACUCAUAGUCAAGACCCUCCACCAGUAACAUAUAUUGGCGAGCCAGCCAGGAGACCACUACAGGAAACACUCCAUUUAUUCCACCUGACUUCCCACUUGGCUGCAUCCUCAACCAUUGAAAUGAAUUUGACCCUGAUAAUCUAAGGAGGAAACAUUUGAUAUUCUUUUGCAAUAAUACUUGGCCCCAGUAUUGUUUGGAAUCUGGAGUUUGCUGUUGAAUGGGAAAGCAGGAUGACGUUGCAUGUAUCCAGGCUUUGGUGCUGCUGUCCUAAGAAGGGUCAGGCCUAGUCAGCAUAUGGUGCUCUCCUUUGGUGCUAUUUGGCUCCAGUGUCUUUGGAGUCUGAGGAGGUUUGGCCUUUAAAAAUCAAACUGCCACCGGAACUGCUUUAAAAAUGUUUGGUUCACAGCCUUCACUGGAUUACCUAUUGGAGCAAACAAAGUGUAACCAUGUAAAACCUGUGAGCUUGUAUUGAUAUCUCAUGGCUAGAGUUCCAAGGUAAAAGCUAUUGGAUCUUCGUUUGUGUGUGUGUAUACAUGUCUAGAUGUGUUUAUUUGUAUGU
rnacentral:lncRNA from 10 species